UACGGGGGGGGCAAGCGUUGUUCGGAAUUACUGGGCGUAAAGCGCACGUAGGCGGCUUUGUAAGUUAGAGGUGAAAGCCCGGGGCUCAACUCCGGAAUAGCCUUUAAGACUGCAUCGCUUGAAUCCGGGAGAGGUGGAGUGGAAUUCCGAGUGUAGAGGUGAAAUUCGUAGAUAUUCGGAAGAACACCAGUGGCGAAGGCGGCUCACUGGACCGGUAUUGACGCUGAGGUGCGAAAGCGUGGGGAGCAAACAGG
rnacentral:rRNA from 1 species